CCCUCUGACAGCCUCCCAGGCACAGAGGCCUUAUUCCCUUUACUUCACAUAGGGAAUGAUUCUUUGGAAAUAUUUCCAGACAACAAUUCCUAAAUAGAGACAAGACAGAUUUUUCUACUUUUGUAGAAAUUUACUUUUGUCAGCUGCAGUCGUUCUAGGCUGUGAUCAGGUCUGGAGAGUCGUUUAUUGAGGAGGAUCUUACGCCAAGCAACCAGUGUGUCGUCCCUGGGGAAGAGGCUGAAGAUCUGUUGGAGAGCUGACGGUGGAAACGGAUGUCUGUCUUCUGGAUUUGGGUGAUAUUUCCUCGUUUCCUAGAAAACUUGAAGUGGGUUCUGUCAUUAGGCAUGAUUGAGAGGGGAUACUUUUCAGCUGUGUAAAUAGCACAGCGGUUUCCUCCUGCCUUUCUUCUUUUCUAGCCAUGGUUCCAAGGCUUGUCCCUCCCAAGUGAGCAGGCAGCGCUGGAGAUGAGAACGAUCACUCCCGCCAUUACCAGGGAGGUGUGGGCCACUGCUAUUUCAGAGAUCCACUAGCCUGCCGCGAGGUCGGCGCGGGCCCGCUACGCAAAGAGCGCAAAGCUCCCAGCGCUGCGCACCACGGCCGCAGCAAGGCGCCAGAAUGGCGUUUCCCGAUGCCCAGGAUUUGGGAACCGCGGGUUUGAGUUUCAGGGCGUCCGGCAGCCCCAGGGAAACGUCGUCGCGGCUUAUCGCGCCAACUUUGUGCAGCUUCAACCUGAGUAAAAAAAUCUCCUUUGCUGUUGAGGAGGCAGCACCGCCGUGGUCUCCCUUGAGACAUCUUCCUCAGGUAGCCAGCAGGGCACUUUUUAUUUUCGGGAUUUCCCCCUGGGUUUAGGGCUUUUAUUUCCCAUAGAGACUUUAGUGAGACUUGUUUUACGGAAGGACCAGUUGAUUCCGGGACUUGAGGGCUCGAGAUCGCACGGGUUUAAUCUUCGGGAUUCCGUUUGUGUGGGGGCGCGGGGCAGGGACGUCUUGGGGAAGGGGACACGCUGGACCUUGGGGCGAGCGGACGGGUCCUGGGAGCGCCCGGGGCUGGGGACGCCGCGUACCGAGCCAGGAGGAGAGAGGCGCCCGUGCCUGCCCCAGGGUGUGCCAGGGGCUAAGCUUUCAGCUUCAGACGUCAACAUCGCUGAAACCAUAACUCAACUCAGUUUACUGAAAGGCCUUCCUCAGGACCCCACCUUGACUUGUGUUGCUGAAAAGAGAAAUGAGCAGUGUUGCCUACAAGGAAUAGAGAAGCAGAAUAUUGAACACUCUCCUCAAACUCAGUACCUACUAUCUUCAAGAACGUGACAGUCUGAAAAACAGAAUUCUUGGAAGCAUUCUGGAGAAAACUGAAAAAUAGUCGCCCUUCACAUCGAAGGUUAUAAGACCUCCAUUCCAAAAGGAGCUCUGCCCUAUGCCAGGGAGGAAGGAAUGCUGCACAGAGAGGUCAAGAAGAAUCUGACCAGAAAGGCCUUGCUGGGUUUCCCCACUCAGUCUAUUAGCAUUAGAGGUGCCAGCUAUGACCCUUACGAUAGGAACGAAAGAGAUCCACCAUUUCUGCCCCUAUAGUCCUGGUGAUGAGGAUGGGAUGGCUGAAGCAACUGACUCACCUACUGAUGAGGUCCCGGGACAACUGGCAAAAAGUUGGCAAAGAAAGACUGAGAGGACUGCAGGACCAUGUCAUUUGGAGGACAUCAAGCUAUUUGAUACCUGGCAAUCUGGAUGAAAGUAAGAGGAAAUGGCCAAUGAAAACUUAGUCAUUAACACAUAUAAUCAAAAGCCAUGAUAUGAUUAAACAAUGAGAAGAAAACUACAAUUAUUUGGGGACACAGGUCAUGAUGAUUCUCCCCAUUAAAAUCCACUGGAUGCUAUACAUGGUUCCUUUAGACUUGAUUCACUUUUAUUUCAUCAUUUUUCUUUUGUUUCUAAGACUUGAUAAUUUCAUUGUCCGAUCUUCAAGUUCACUAGUUCUUUCUUUUGUCUACUCCAAUGUGCCUUCAAAUCCCUCUAAUAAAAUGUUCAGUGUUCAUUUCAGUUA